rnacentral:rRNA from 1 species
GUGGGGAAUCUUGCGCAAUGGGCGAAAGCCUGACGCAGCCAUGCCGCGUGAAUGAUGAAGGUCUUAGGAUUGUAAAAUUCUUUCACCGGGGACGAUAAUGACGGUACCCGGAGAAGAAGCUCCGGCUAACUUCGUGCCAGCAGCCGCGGUAAUACGAAGGGGGCUAGCGUUGCUCGGAAUUACUGGGCGUAAAGGGCGCGUAGGCGGACAGCUUAGUCAGAGGUGAAAGCCCAGGGCUCAACCUUGGGAUUGCCUUUGAUACUGGCUGUCUUGAGUUUGGGAGAGGUGAGUGGAACUCCGAGUGUAGAGGUGAAAUUCGUAGAUAUUCGGAAGAACACCAGUGGCGAAGGCGACUCACUGGCCCAAUACUGACGCUGAGGCGCGAAAGCGUGGGGAGCAAACAGGAUUAGAAACCCCAGUAGUCC